UAACAUACUUCGUACAAUUGCCUCUCUU
rnacentral:piRNA from 1 species